UCGCGAAAACUUUGCAAUAAGCGAAAGCUUGACAGGGCUAUCCCGAGUGCCAUCCGCUGAGGAAGGCUUUUACCCAGUCUAGUAAGCUGGGGGAAUAAGGAGAGGGCAAGUCUGGUGUCAGCCGCCGCGGUAAUACCAGCUCUCCGAGUGGUGUGGAUGUUUAUUGGGCCUAAAGCAUCCGUAGCUGGCUGAGUUAGUCCCCUGUUAAAUCCACCGAAUCAAUCGUUGGAUUGCGGGGGAUACUGCUCGGCUAGGGGACGGGAGAGGCAGACGGUAUUUCCGGGGUAAGGGUGAAAUCUUAUAAUCCCGGGAAGACCACCAGUGGCGAAGGCUGUCUGCUAGAACGCGCCCGACGGUGAGGGAUGAAAGCUGGGGUAGCGAACCGG
rnacentral:rRNA from 1 species